CUCUUAAUCAUGCAACUAUAUUGGCCAUAGCGAGUGGAUAUUUGAUUACUUUAUUUGCCAUAAUUUUCACCAGCAAUAAGCAUAGUACUAAUUGGUUCAAUCAAUUGCUACACGAUACUGAACCAAUCAUGUGGUAACUUCCACCGUUUGAUUAUUCUUAUAUAUGUACUAAGAAUCAUUGUUUAAUUAAGAGUAAAAUACACCAUUAGUCCAUAAAUCCGACAAAAAUAAACACUUUAGUCCAUUAACUCGAAAAACGCACACUUAAACCUCUAAACUGGGACUACUGUGUCAUUUUAGUCCAAAAAUUGUUCAGCAAGCUCGAUAUAACACGUCAAUGUAUUGUUCUCUCCGACAGUGUCGGAGAUUUAAUACAUAAUUAAAAAUUAAGUUGGACAACAAAAAGCUCACUUUAGACUGUCUUUUGGACGUGGCGAAAUUACCGGCGCCGGUAUAUACCGGUGCGGUCUGGUCCACUGGUUCCGUUGAGAUCCACCGCGAUUCCCCAUGUGAGCUCUGGCCGGUGCCGUUCCCCAGCGAGGAUGGGCGGGAACGGGCGGUCGAUACGGCGCCCGGUAAAGAAAUAUCACGUUGUCUUCUCCCUUCAACCCACACACAGAUCUAGAAACUCACACUUGGACCUAUUUUUUAGGCUCAAGAUGUAGGGAUAUAUAGGCCCGUAGGCCCGUGGGAAAACCUCAGAGUGGUGGAAACAGAUUUGCAGUAUUAUUCACAUUUAGACAAGGUUUAUACAUCACGCAACUAGAAAUCUGAG
rnacentral:lncRNA from 1 species